GAUCAGACUUGUCUUCAGAGCAAAAGAAUGCCCCAGUCUCCGAUGCUGGUGCUGAUUGACUGCUUCAGUGAGGUGAAGUCAGCAUGUUGGCUGUGCAGCAGAGAAUGAGCUCAAGACCUUCUGAGGCUUUGCAUGAGCAAAUGGACACGGACUAACUGAGUAAAUCU